rnacentral:rRNA from 1 species
UGGGGAAUUUUGGACAAUGGGCGCAAGCCUGAUCCAGCCAUGCCGCGUGAGUGAAGAAGGCCUUCGGGUUGUAAAGCUCUUUCGGACGGGAAGAAAUGGCGGGCUCUAACAUAGCCUGUCGAUGACGGUACCGUAAGAAUAAGCACCGGCUAACUUCGUGCCAGCAGCCGCGGUAAUACGAAGGGUGCAAGCGUUACUCGGAAUUACUGGGCGUAAAGCGUGCGUAGGUGGUUGUUUAAGUCUGAUGUGAAAGCCCUGGGCUCAACCUGGGAAUGGCAUUGGAAACUGGGCAGCUAGAGUGCGGUAGAGGGUAGUGGAAUUCCCGGUGUAGCAGUGAAAUGCGUAGAGAUCGGGAGGAACAUCUGUGGCGAAGGCGACUGCCUGGACCAGCACUGACACUGAGGCACGAAAGCGUGGGGA